CCAAACAAAAAAAUACAUCAACAAAUUAUAUCAAAAUUGUGAAUAAAUCUGGAAUAAAUCAUGUUUUCCUGAUUUGUUAAUACAAUUUGUUCAUGAUUCAUUAAAUGAAUCAUAAAUAAAUUGUGCUUUUACUGGAAAGAAAAGACCCCAUUUAUUAUAGAUUCAUUACAAAAGACAGAUUUAUUAACCAUUGAUUACAAACAUAAGAUAUAUUCAAUACAAUUUAUUGUAAACUCAUUACACUUGAACUGGAAUGUAUACAAUUUAUUCAUGAUUUAUUGAAAAUAGAACUUUUCCCGACUGUAUUUAAUACCAUUUAUUACAAAUUCAAUACACUUUAAAGUUCUGAGAUAUUCACAAGUUGUUCAUGAAUCAUGAUUCAUUAAAAUCAGAGAUUUUCCAGGAUUUAUUCAAUACAAUUCAUAACAUAUUCAUUGUACUUCAGAUGUUCAUAAUUUGCUUAAUUAUAACAGAAAUUUUCAUUGAUGUAGGUCCUUUUGUUUUACUGUUCAUUACAACUAAACCCCUCUCAACUAUACAAAUACAUAUUUUUUUAAUUUCCCUUAACUCAUUACCGUACUUGUUUUUUAAUCAGUCACUGGAAAAUAUAUAUGGGUUUUUCAAGUCUCUUAGUUUAAGCAUCACCAUAUUAUUAAUUCCAUGCUCAGCGCAAAACGUAAAAAAAGGGUCAAUUAUACAAACUCGUUUUACUGUUAAAUAUGUUUAACUAAUUUGCAUGUAGAUUUUAUUUUUGAGUGAUCAAGAUCAGUUUUUGUCUUUCUUAUUGUUAAUACGCAAUCUGAUCCAUACCCACGGCUUUUUAUGAUUAGAUCUAUCAUUAUCAGUAAAAAAACUGUCAAAUAGAUUAACGUAUGCGUAAAAAGGUAAAAUGUCGUAAAAAAGCGACUUAAUUCUCUCGGACUUAACAUCUGUUGUUAGUUUAUUGUUUUGAACAGCAUGGCUCCCAGCCGCGCGAUUAAACGAUAAGAUCUUGCAGGGAACUGCAGCCUACCGAGCGCCCCCUAUCAGCCGACAACAGAACAAGAUUAAUAGGAAACGAAAUUUUUUUGCCAUUUCAGAAAAAAGAUAUCUUACCAUACAAACAAUUUUCUUUCUUUUGGAUAUAACUAAUGUCAGAAACAAACUAACUUACAACAGAUUUUGUCAUUGCAGCUGCAAAAUUAGGAACUUUAUACAAUAAUUUAGUAGCUAGGAAUAACAUUUCGUUUGCAUUAAUUCUAUGCAUAGGAAAAAGGCGGUUAUUUUGGAAGAUGAAAACUUGUGGUGUUACACAAAAAUAUGGAUAAAAAACAAUAUCAAGGCAUCUAGACUACUGAUAGAUGGUAUACUGAUAGACGUUAUCUCGCAGAAAACUGAAAAAGAGCAGCAAAGAAAGGACAGAACGUAAAAAUCAGCAACUCUGAUGAGAUGGUAAAAAGCAGAUGAACGGGAGAUAAUAAAAAUGCAGAUUGACGGCUUCUUUGAUCGUGAAGAGUUUGCUAUUAGUUAUGGGACAAGGGCAUUCCAAGGAAAUGACAUAUAUGAGUCUUUGAAGCAGUAUGCCAUUCAUUGCCUCAGUAUAGAGAUUCAACAUUUAAUGAUUAUAGGAAUAAAAAAGGUGUAGCUCCAGACAGACACUGAAAAGGAAGGCAAAGAUGUUUUCAGACUGACAUAAAGCCCU